UACGUAGGGCGCAAGCGUUGUCCGGAAUUAUUGGGCGUAAAGAGCUCGUAGGCGGCUUGUCACGUCGGGUGUGAAAGCCCGGGGCUUAACCCCGGGUCUGCAUUCGAUACGGGCUGGCUAGAGUGUGGUAGGGGAGAUCGGAAUUCCUGGUGUAGCGGUGAAAUGCGCAGAUAUCAGGAGGAACACCGGUGGCGAAGGCGGAUCUCUGGGCCAUUACUGACGCUGGGGAGCGAAAGCGUGGGGAGCGAACAGG
rnacentral:rRNA from 1 species